rnacentral:rRNA from 2 species
GCUAAGGUAGCAUAAUAAUUUGUCAUUUAAUUGGUAACCAGAAUGAAAGGCUAAACUAACUUAUUAAGUUUGUGGGACUGGAUAGUAGAUUAAAGUUAAGGUAAGAAUUCUUUAAUUUUCUGGGGGACGAUAAGACCCUAGAAGCUUGACAAGUGUAGUGUUUAGGUUUGUUUUAGAAGUAAAUUUGUUUUGCUGGGGCGGUAAAAGUAAUUAAGCUACUUAUUGUUUAAAGGAUCCUUUAAAUAAAGAGAGAAUAGAGAAGUUACUCUAGGGAUAA